rnacentral:lncRNA from 10 species
AGUACGUGCAUUAUGUUAAGUCAUACUGUUUUAAUUAUAAUUGGUCACAAGGAUAAAAGACAAGGUCAACUGUAUCUAAGUAUGACAGUUCAAGGUUAUAAUCUAACAGGCAUCAACUGUGUAACUUAACAAAUCUUUAGAAAUAUGUACAAACCCCAUGAGGAACUACCUUAAAAAAAUCACGUCUUAGGCUAGGGGACAGCAAACUGUAACCCAG